rnacentral:rRNA from 1 species
CAUGCUUUACUCAUGCAAGUCGAACGGCAGCGUGGUAGUGCUUGCACUACUGACGGCGAGUGGCGAACGGGUGAGUAAUGCAUCGGAAUGUACCGAGUAAUGGGGGAUAACUGAUCGAAAGAUUAGCUAAUACCGCAUACGACCUACGGGUGAAAGCAGGGGAUCGCAAGACCUUGCGUUAUUCGAGCAGCCGAUGUCGGAUUAGGUAGUUGGUGGGGUAAAGGCCUACCAAGCCGACGAUCCGUAGCGGGUCUGAGAGGAUGAUCCGCCACAUUGGGACUGAGACACGGCCCAAACUCCUACGGGAGGCAGCAGUGGGGAAUUUUGGACAAUGGGGGCAACCCUGAUCCAGCCAUGCCGCGUGUCUGAAGAAGGCCUUCGGGUUGUAAAGGACUUUUGUACGGGAAGAAAAGGGAAGUGAUAAUACCACUUUCUGCUGACGGUACCGUAAGAAUAAGCACCGGCUAACUACGUGCCAGCAGCCGCGGUAAUACGUAGGGUGCGAGCGUUAAUCGGAAUUACUGGGCGUAAAGCGAGCGCAGACGGUUGAUUAAGCCAGAUGUGAAAUCCCCGAGCUUAACUUGGGACGUGCAUUUGGAACUGGUCGGCUAGAGUGUGUCAGAGGGAGGUAGAAUUCCACGUGUAGCAGUGAAAUGCGUAGAGAUGUGGAGGAAUACCGAUGGCGAAGGCAGCCUCCUGGGAUAACACUGACGUUCAUGCUCGAAGCGUGGGUAGCAACAGGAUAGAUACCCUGCUAGUCACCGCCUAACGAUGACAUAGCUGUUGGUUUGAAUCUUAUACCUACUACGCUGAA